UACGUAGGGGGGCAAGCGUUGUCCGGAAUUAUUGGGCGUAAAGAGCGUGUAGGCGCCAGAUAAGUCCGCUGUGAAAUCUCGAGGCUCAACUUCGAGCUGUCGGUGGAAACUAUCUGGCUAGAGUCCGGAAGAGGAGAAUGGAAUUCCUGGUGUAGCGGUGAAAUGCGCAGAUAUCAGGAGGAACACCGAUGGCGAAGGCAGGUCACUGGGCCGCAACUGACGCUGAGGAGCGAAAGCAUGGGGAGCGAACAGG
rnacentral:rRNA from 1 species